rnacentral:rRNA from 1 species
GACGAACGCUGGCGGCGUGCUUAACACAUGCAAGUCGAACGGAAAGGCCCUGCUUGCAGGGUACUCGAGUGGCGAACGGGUGAGUAACACGUGGGUGAUCUGCCCUGCACUUCGGGAUAAGCCUGGGAAACUGGGUCUAAUACCGGAUAGGAGCCAUUUUUAGUGUGAUGGUUGGAAAGUUUUUUUCGGUGUAGGAUGAGCUCGCGGCCUAUCAGCUUGUUGGUGGGGUAAUGGCCUACCAAGGCGGCGACGGGUAGCCGGCCUGGGAGGGUGGACGGCCAAAUUGGGACUGAGAUAAGGCCCAGACUCCUACGGGAGGCAGCAGUGGGGAAUAUUGCACAAUGGGCGCAAGCCUGAUGCAGCGACGCCGCGGGGGGGAUGACGGCCUUCGGGUUGUAAACUCCUUUCGCUAGGGACGAAGCUUUUUGUGACGGUACCUAGAUAAGAAGCACCGGCUAACUACGUG